UAAGGUGUUUGGGCUCAUGGCAUAUGAAGAGGCAAUAUAUUAUCAGUGGUAGGCAGCGAGCAAUAUGACGUGGAAUCGAAACUAACAUAACAAGUCUAGAUAUGGGAUCAAGGUCAUGUCAUCUUGCCUGUGAUAUCCUCAGCUUGGAAUGGUUCUGGAUCGUCCUGCACGUACUCUCCUGACUCCACGUAUUCGGUCUCCGCUCCCGGUGCUACCCAAUGCAAGAACAACAGCCAAUGAACAGAAGCACCACAAAAUGCAACAAUCACAUGAUGCAUGAGAUGAACGUUGAGCAAGCAUCCCUAUUUCUAACACUAGCACAAGCAAGAAUAACUACAACAAGUUCCUGGGCAGAACUUUGCACUAAACUAUUUGGACAUGCAUGGUAAUGAAAUGAACAGAUGCAUCUCGUAAAAACGGUGCAAAACCAUAUAAAGAACUUUGCAAACGGAGCUACGGAUCAACGGGAAACAACGAAACACGAUAUGAAGCCCUACGUGAAAGAUUCAUCACCACACACACAAUUGGCACAAAUCUGGUGUUCCCAGGUUGCCAAGACAUAUAUGAACCCAACAUGAAUGAAAUGGAGCAAGGUAUAACACUCCAACAACAAUUAAACGCAAACUUUGAACAAAAUGUCAAAACUACGCAAUCUGCCAGUUUCUGCAUCUUAGCUGUUUGAGAGCAACAUGCAACAUAGCUACAGGUCUUCAAACAUGACAAAUAAUAUAUGUGGCUGUUUCCAACCAAGAACACUACCAUAUCCAGCAAGAAUCACAGCAAAAGGAAUUAAACUCUAGAAGAUACAAGGCCACAAACUUUCCAAAAACCAUCAGUUCUCAGGGACUUAGUGAAAAUUCCUGCACCUGAGUUACUGUUUCUGUUCUGAAGCUUUUUGACAGCAAUCAAAACACACGCUACUGGACACCAAAUGACUUGAACAUUGACAGGAAGCUUCACAACCAUACCAGGUUCAAAACACUAGCACUGAACUAAGUCCAGUUCUUAACAGAAUGACCAGCACAACCUUAUCUACAGGGGAAGAAAAUGUUCUCAGCAUUCCAGACUUAGUGAAAUUUUCAGAGUUCAAAAUCUGGAGUUUUCCAGCCACAUGCCCACUUUGUCUAGGCAUAGUUUGCACACACAUGUCCCCAAGAGGUGUUUGACACCACUAUGGUGUUGAGCACAAACCCCUACAACUAGCACACCAAGACCCAUGCCUUUGGGCUCCUUCUAUACCAUGGGAACAAGGCCCAAACUUUCAACAAAGUGCAAAUGCAAUCCAUAAGGUAUGCUUCUAAGAUGACAAGUAAAUAGGAGAGUUUCAUGUGCACAAUGACAAAGUGACAUGGGGGUUUGAACCCCAUGUUUGUGUCAUGCACAUCAACAACACCAACACCCAUAUCACAAUACUACUAGAUUCAAGCACAACACAAUAGGAUUCUAAGCUAACAAGAGAGUAUGCACACCUCCACAUAUGGGCAUGUGAUGGUGCACACUCUCACAUAUAUUCCACUUCAUUUACAACAACAUCAUGCCCUUAAACCUAAGGAAAACUAGAGGGGGUAAGAAACAAGUAACUUGGUAGCAUCAUCUCUCAAACACUUUUAGUAGGUACCACAAGUGGGGUGCACUCACAACAACAUCAUCUCCAUUCCUACACAUGUUAUGAUGGCAAUGAACACUAGGAUAAGCUCUCACACACAAUUAUAUGUGGUGGGGAGGGCACCCCUACAUCCACACACUUGCACAAGGCCACCCUCAUGAGGGAAACUAGCACCCACAUGCACUAGACUAGCAGGGCACCCAAGUGAGAGCACCAAUAUAAACACACUCUCACACACAUCACACCUCAAGCACCAUUUACGAGCACCUAGGCCCACACCACUACUACCAUCACAAUACUUCUCCUACUUCCCCAACAGGUGACAUGGAAGGGAGGAACAUAGGCAUGGAUUCACACCACUACUAUCAUCACAAACUACUCCUACACCUCCUACAAUUAACAUGGAAGGGAGAAAUACAUAGGACAAAAUAUACUCUGAGCUGGACAUGGGGUUGCUCACAUAGCAAGGAAAAAAAAGACUGCAAAACAGGAAAAAAAGAACAAAAGAAAAAGAAAUCUGGGCUGACUGGGAUUCGAACCCCAGCCCCCUGAUACAACAACACCACAACCCACCACUACGCUGCUGCUACGGUUGUUAACAAGAGAGGAGGGAAUAGCAAGGUAAGCUGACUGCAUGCCCAUUGAUACGAAUAAAAUCAAAAACAACCACCAAAAGGCGCCGAGGGGGGGACUCGAACCCGCGCCCUCCCACAGGCGUAUUCAUAAGACUGUGCACUUCUACCAACAGGCUACGGUUCGUUGACUCGCUAGAAUGGGAAGGGAAAGCAGGUAAAGCCACUCCGCUGCGGAGGAGAGCUCCGCCGGCGGCCGGACCCGAGGACGCUGGCGGCGCCACUCCCGGCCACCACCGGCAGGGGAAACCGUCGGCGGGGCCCGCGGGACUCCCGGGGGAUCCAUUUUCGCCCUGAGCACGGGAGAAGGUGCCUCCUUGGCUGCCUUGAACUGCAAUGGUGUUCCUGCUAAGCUGCACCGUCCGCCUGGGAGCACGGGACAUAGAGCUCCGGGCGCGCCACCCUGCGGGAACUGCUGCGCUGCUAGGCUACCUACUGCUGCCGGCUGCUACUACGAACACGCACGCACACAACUCGCCCAGCUACUGCACCGUACGCACUGUUGCCGACCUACUGACAGGGAAGAAAACCGAAGCAUCACAGCGACUCCGGCCGACCCAAGAAGGAAGAAGCACAGGGGCGACGUGCAGCCUCACCUUGGGGCGAAGAGGGGGCGCCGAACCGACGGAGAGGAAGCCGGACCGGGGAAGGAGACGCUGAAGAAGUUCCUCCGCCGUAGACCGAAGCAGGGAAGGAGACGCCCGGUUCGGCU
rnacentral:lncRNA from 1 species